rnacentral:rRNA from 1 species
UACGUAGGGGCGAGCGUUGUCCGGAUUUACUGUGCGUAAAGGGUGAGUAGGCGGUUGUAUAUGUCAGGUGUAAAAGGCUAUGGCUUAACCAUGGUUAGCACUUGAAACUGUACAACUUGAGUGCAGGAGAGGUAAGUGGAAUUCCUAGUGUAGCGGUGAAAUGCGUAGAUAUUAGGAGGAACACCAGUGGCGAAGGCGACUUACUGGACUGUAACUGACGCUGAGUCACGAAAGCGUGGGUAGCAAACAGGAUUAGAUACCCUGGUAGU